rnacentral:misc_RNA from 1 species
CAUUUCUAUCGACUCUACACACCCUAAACCUUACCUUCCUUUUUUCCUCCUUCCAAUUUCACUUGCCAAACACUGUACUGUAAUCUCCAUUCUCCAAAACAUAACUCUGUCCAUACCCUCGCAUGGCUUCUUCCGCCUAAAACACUUGAUGAUCGCUUAACAUCUACUGUUUGUAGGUACUGCUGGAGCCUUUAGUAUUUUUAUUAUCAAUACAAGAAAUCUACUGGUCCAAAACAUGUCCAAGGAUCAGCCUUCUCUGGCCGUAGAUGAAAAUGUGGUUGAUCCUUCAAGGGCUGCUAUUGCUAUUGGGUCUUUAGGGGUUGAUGAUUCACCCAUCGCUUGUCCUUCUCAGACACAGUCAGUCUACCAUGGAGGUAAUGGAAAUAUGGUUGGCACAUGGGGUACAUGCCUUCCAGAUGUUAAUGCUGAAGGCUUGGAAAAUAGUUCUUAUGGCAUCUACGAUGAUUCUUCAUCACUUCCAUUUCAUGGCCAUGGGUACACUCCUCAAAUGCCACAGAGGCCAUUUGCCUCAUUCACAACACCUCCCCCUUCUGUAAAUUGUCUUGGCCCUCUAUACAAUGUCCAAGAGUUACCAAACUCAGAUGCACCUUUCUACGAACAAUUCAUGACACCAAAUGUUCCUAACAUUGCUUCACAAACCGCACUUUCUUCUGCU